GCGAAGAGCAAAGCGUACGCCUGUACCAGGAUGGCCGAGUGGUUAAGGCGUUGGACUUAAGAUCCAAUGGACAUAUGUCCGCGUGGGUUCGAACCCCACUCCUGGUAUUUUAAGUGACUUAUCAGAGAUUAUUGGAGAGUGGAUUCAAGCAUCACAAUGGAUAGUGUUUUCCAAACUGUCACUGGAAUGCCCUCUUCUCAAUUUUUGCCACAUGGUAAUGGAGAACUCUCAUGACUGAGGCUGACAUAUGUCUAUAGGCACCAAACAGAAUGGAGAUAUUUAUAUCCUGGUUUCUACUCAAGGGGGCUCCCAUUACUUCAAAGUACAUUUAACCUAAUAUUCCACUCAAGCCUGGCAGAAGCAAAUCACUGGGAGAACAUCAAAGGAUGUUAUGGUCUGGCGUGGGGCCUGAGAAGUUGCCUUUGUAAGAAGUUCCCAGAUGAUGCUGAUGCUGGUGGUACAGGCACCACCCUUUGAGAACCACUGGUCUAUGGUAUUUCCCAAAUUUGCCUAAAGAUUGCUUGAAAUAUCUGAGAGCUCUCAGAGGAAAGAGCCUGUUGACUUUAAGGCUGUGUUGAUCAGUCAACAAAGCAGAAACCUCUUUGCUCUGAAAACCAUCUGGUGGAUCUACAGGCACAGUUAAAGCUUAUCAGAGAGAAGGAGUCCCUGGGAGGUGCAAAUGGUUAAGCACUCUACUACUAGCCAAAAGGUUGGAAGUUCGAACCUACCCAGAGGCACCUCGGAAGACAGUCCUGGCAAUCUGUUUCUGAAAGGUCACGGCUUUGAAAACCCUUUGGAGCAAUUUUAUGAGAUGGAAUCAACUCCAUGGCAACUAACGACAGCAGCAUAUUUUAAGAACUGUGCUAAAUGCGUUUCUGUAUUAUAUUCAUUUAAUCCUUCGUAACGCCCCAUGAGGUUGCUGUCAAGUGGAAUCUAGCUCAUCGUGACUCCGUGUGUGCAGAGUAGAACUGCUCCAGAGGGUUUUCAAGACUGUGACCUUUAGGAAGAAGAUCGCCAGGUCUGUCUCCUGAGGCACUGCUGGGAGGGUUUGAACUGCCAGCCUUCCAGCUAAUAGUUGAGUGCUUAACCAUCUGUGCCACCCAGGGAUUGCAGAGAAUACACUUCGGAUCUGCUGGAGUGGGGAAGGGGCAGUUGUUCAGCAAUAAGGAGUGGUCCAGGGCAGCCAGGGGCCUAACUCCUUUCGACCCGUCCUUCUUAUCCUCUCCCCACCACCCUGCACAUCCAGGGUACCUGAUGCCUCUAAUUCCUGAGCUUCUGGGGAAGGAUUCAGUGGAAAUUAGAUUUAUUCUCAGCUGCCCCUGUGAAGUCAAUUUCUACUUGACCAUCUACUUUCCUGCUUCAAAGUGUUGUUGUCAUUGUCUCUCCCUCUCUCUCCCUGUGGUUUUAUGUCUCAAAAUAGCUUCCUUUGGUAUAGUUUUUCAACUGGGGUGUGGGAAGAAACAAAAUUAGAUGGUGUGUUCAAGCUUCAUCUUACCUGAAGUCACUGCGGUUGAGUUUUUGAAUAUAAAGAGUUUGAAAUAUUUAACUUUUUAUACAAAUACAGUGAUGCAUGGGGCUUUUGAAGACACUGAUAACAUUCUGUAAAAAUCUAUGACCAUACCAGACUGACUUAAGAUAGUUAUUGUGCUAACUCAAUGUUUUGCAAACUUGUUAAUGUCCCAACCCUGUUAAAGGAAAAAUGAAAUCUUACAGACUUGUGGCGCUGACUUAUAUCAUUUUAAUUAUAAUGUUACUUAAAUGUGUGCAAACAUAAAUAUAAGCUGUUUUUGCUUACAGAACUUGUUCAUCUAUAUAAGCAAAAAAAAAAAAAACCCUCUAACUUAAUACAAGAUCACAUAUAAAUUCAAAUUAACAACGUAAAUUUAAUGUGAUAGAUGUUAUUUUCAUGGAUCUAAAUUGCUGCUCUAAAUACAAAUAUAAUUCUGCUGUAUCAUGGGUUCUUUUAAGUUCACCAUCCAUAUAAUACCAGGUGUUGCAUGAGAAACAAAUCUACCCAAUUCUCUGAAUUUUAAAUUCAGGGAAACCUUCUUUCUAUAUAGCAAGAUAUGUUAUCAUGUAAGCAUCAUUUAGCAAGAAUGCAUCUUUUACCCCUUGAGACUGCAUCUGUUCUUCUCAUAUUAGCCUCUAACACAGGAGAUUGUGCUUCAAGAUGCCAAGGAGAUCGUAAACACCAACAGGAAUUUGGCCCUUUUGAUUUAGAGGUAUUCUCUGAGGAAGGCUUCUGCUGCAAAUGUGAACUAACGAGACACCCUUAGGUCCUUAGAUCCCUGAGAAGCCUCCUAAGAGGAGGUGACUGCUGUUUCAAAGAAUUAAAGGAAUGAAAAAUAUUUUUCCUGGAUUUUCUUUGAAAAGUAAGAGCAGGUAAGUGUAUGAAGAUGUUCGUUGGAGGAAGGGUACAUUUGGCCUCAUGACAUGAUUUCAUUCUGGUGUAGACAACCAUUAGUUUGAGGAAUGUGGUGACUGUAACUACACUGAGAAGCAGUUGUCCUAAUUUUAUAAAAUAAAACAGUUGAAUUUGUUAAAGUAACUAAUAUUUAAAAUUGCCCGUAUAAAGCCAAUAAACUGCCCGAGUAUUUUACCCUUGUACAGUGACUGAAAGAAGCUUUGGUGAUACAAACAGUUAAGCACUCGGCUGUUUGGUUGGCAGUUUGAACCCACCCAAUGGCUCCACGGGAGAAAGAUGUGGCGAUCUGCUUCCAUAAAGAUUACGGCCUAGAAAACCCUGUGGGGCAGUUCCACUGUCAUAUGGGGCCAUUUUGAAUUGAAACCAGCUUUAGGGCACCUAACAGAAACAACUGUGACUGAAUCCUUAGGAUCUUUCUCAGAUUCACAAGCUGGAAAUACCUAAUAAUUAACAAGGAGGUGCUUGUCAGUGCCUUCCAGUUUUCUAGUGGAAAAGUUCACAGCAUGUCUGGCCUAACCUCUAGGCAUUCGUACCAUGUUGUUGUUUCUGUUAGGUGCUGUCGAGUUGGUUCUGAUUCAUAGUGGCCCUAUGUACAACAAAACGAAAUGUUGCCCUGUCCUGCACCAUCCUCACAAUUGUCCUCAAAGUGGCAUCUUUGCUUUUUAACACUUUAAAGAGAUCUUUUGCAGCAGAUUCGUAACAUAGAAUGUGAAAACUAAUGUGACAAUAUGUCUUUUAAAAGCAGGGUAAGAACCCAGAAAAGUUUAGCAUCCACCUCAAAAAUACAAGGAAGUUUUCUAGAAGGAAAGCCUGGCUGAUAGUAUCAAGGAGGGCCAGUUUAUUAAUAUCAUAGCUUGAUGAGGCUCAGGUUUAUGUCCUGUUGGCCAUUUUUCCACAAUAUAUAGAGGUUGAUGCCCAGAGGGAAGUCCCACAAAGAGGGUCAGGGUGACAGUCUGGGUUAUAAAGCCGGCACUUUGUGAGGCAGUCAGCCGGGAGCUCAGUGUUUGCUCUCCAGACAGGCAUCAGGAACAUUGACCUGACCCAAGCAAGCCUUCCUGUCUGUUAUAGAUUGAAUUGUGUCCCCCUAAAAUAUGUAUUUCUUGGCCCCUGUACCUGCGGAUAUGCUCUUGUUUGGAAUAAGAUUUUUCUUUUGUUAUAUCAAUAGGUUAUACCAGUGUAGGGUGGGUCCUAAACCUAAUCACUUCUGAGUUACAGUAAAGCCUAUGAAAGCUACUAAUAUAUAUGUUAGUAUAGAACCCGUGAAAGGCAGAAACUUGUCACAGAAGGAAAACUAAAAUGUUUUCUGCAAUAGAGAAUGACGGAAAAGUGGUAAGACUGCACCCUGUCAAAGGUGGAAAACAGGCAAGACCCAGAAAGACAAGGCAGUUCUGAAACCAUGUCUCACAGAUUUCACUGUAUAGGUAGUCCUCGAUUUACAACGUAUUCGAGUUAUGACGAACUUUGCUUAAGAUUGUCAGUGUAUCUGGAUCAUUACAUCUUUCUGGGAGAAAGUUAUGGGAAAAUACAUGCAAGGGAUGGAAAAAAUUGCUGAGUUAUGUGAACACACUCCAAGCAUUUUAUUAGGAUAAUAUGAUGGAAGAGAUAGGCAGAAAAAUCACCCGUAUGGCAAAAUGAUGAAUUUAGUAUAUGAUAUUGUCAAUGUGGAAUAGCUCAUAGAUCACGAAGAAGGGGAAUUGACAGAUCAGGACUUAAUGAAUUUUGAGAAGGAAAGAAAUGCUGAAGAAAGAAAUAAUGAGGAAGAGGAAGGAAAGAAAUUGUCCAAAAAUUUUCCCGUGAAAGGAUUAGCUGGAGUUUUUUUCUAAACUAAGUCAGGGGCUUCAGUUCCUUGAAAACAUGGACCCAAAUGCUGAUCGCUUUGUUAAAUUUAAUAGGUAAAUUUGGGAAGCUGUAAGAUGUUACCUUGAAACAUAUUAAGAAAAAAAGAAAUAGACCAUAUAAACAACUCACUAAUUUGACUAGUAAUGCUAUAUGUAUUCCCAGGGAUAAUUCAGAUGAUCUAGAACCUUCCACAAGUGGAGUUAUUACUGAAACUGACAAAAUGUCAACAUUGUCCAACUCUUCUUCAUUGUCAGAAUAAAUUUUUAUGAUUUGUGUAUUUUGUAAUGUACCCUGGUGGCAUAGUGGUUAAGUACUAUGGCUGCUAACCAACGGGUCAGCAGUUCGAAUCUGCCAGGCGCUCCUUGGAAACUCUAUGGGGCAGUUCUACUCUGUCCUAUAGGGUUGCUAUGAGUUGGAAUCGACUCGAUGGCACUGGGUUUGGUUUGGUUUCUGUGUGUAUGUAUUGGAGCCCCGAUGGGUGCAGUGGUUAAGAGCUCGGCUGCUAACUGAAAGGUUGGCAGUUCAACUCCACCAGCCGCUCCUUGGAAAUUCUAUGGGGCAGUGUACUCUGUCCUAUAGGGUCACUAUGAGUCAGAAUCGAUUCAAAGGCCAAGGGUUUUUUUUUGGUUUUUAUGUAUGUAUUAAAAUAUAUCUAUAAAUUUAUAUAUGAUGUUUCCA